ACAUGCCUACAACGUGGAAUUAAUGCAUCGGAUCCCAUUAGAAGUUCACAAUUAAGCAUGCUUGGGAUAGAGUAGUACUAGGAUGGGUCACCACCCAGGAAGUCCUAGUGUUUUACAUGCC
rnacentral:rRNA from 1 species